rnacentral:rRNA from 1 species
CAGUAGCCACGGUAAUACGUAGGUGGCAAGCGUUGUCCGGAAUUAUUGGGCGUAAAGCGCGCGUAGGCGGUUUUUUAAGUCUGAUGUGAAAGCCCACGGCUCGACCGUGGAGGGUCAUUGGAAACUGGAAAACUUGAGUGCAGAAGAGGAAAGUGGAAUUCCAUGUGUAGCGGUGAAAUGCGCAGAGAUAUGGAGGAACACCAGUGGCGAAGGCGACUUUCUGGUCUGUAACUGACGCUGAUGUGCGAAAGCGUGGGGAUCAAACAGGAUUAGAUACCCCGGUAGUCCCUGUCUCUUAUAC